CAGGCAAAUCCGGAAGGUUAAGGCUGAGGCGUGAUGACGAGGCACCACGGUGCUGAAGUGACAAAUGCCCUGCUUCCAGGAAAAGCCUCUAAGCAUCAGGUAACAUCAAAUCGUACCCCAAACCGACACAGGUGGUCAGGUAGAGAAUACCAAGGCGCUUGAGAGAACUCGGGUGAAGGAACUAGGCAAAAUGGUGCCGUAACUUCGGGAGAAGGCACGCUGACAUGUAGGUGAAGCCCCUGCGGGUGGAGCUGAAGUCAGUCGAAGAUACCAGCUGGCUGCAACUGUUUAUUAAAAACACAGCACUGUGCAAACACGAAAGUGGACGUAUACGGUGUGACGCCUGCCCGGUGCCGGAAGGUUAAUUGAUGGGGUUAUCGCAAGAGAAGCUCCUGAUCGAAGCCCCGGUAAACGGCGGCCGUAACUAUAACGGUCCUAAGGUAGCGAAAUUCCUUGUCGGGUAAGUUCCGACCUGCACGAAUGGCGUAAUGAUGGCCAGGCUGUCUCCACCCGAGACUCAGUGAAAUUGAACUCGCUGUGAAGAUGCAGUGUACCCGCGGCAAGACGGAAAGACCCCGUGAACCUUUACUACAGCUUGACACUGAACAUUGAGCCUUGAUGUGUAGGAUAGGUGGGAGGCUUUGAAGCGUGGACGCCAGUCUGCGUGGAGCCGACCUUGAAAUACCACCCUUUAAUGUUUGAUGUUCUAACCUGGCGCCGUAAUCCGGCGUGGGGACAGUGUCUGGUGGGUAGUUUGACUGGGGCGGUCUCCUCCCAAAGUGUAACGGAGGAGCACGAAGGUCAGCUAAUCCUGGUCGGACAUCAGGAGGUUAGUGCAAUGGCAUAAGCUGGCUUGACUGCGAGAGUGACGGCUCGAGCAGGUGCGAAAGCAGGUCAUAGUGAUCCGGUGGUUCUGUAUGGAAGGGCCAUCGCUCAACGGAUAAAAGGUACUCCGGGGAUAACAGGCUGAUACCGCCCAAGAGUUCAUAUCGACGGCGGUGUUUGGCACCUCGAUGUCGGCUCAUCACAUCCUGGGGCUGAAGUAGGUCCCAAGGGUAUGGCUGUUCGCCAUUUAAAGUGGUACGCGAGCUGGGUUUAGAACGUCGUGAGACAGUUCGGUCCCUAUCUGCCGUGGGCGCUGGAGAAUUGAGGGGGGCUGCUCCCAGUACGAGAGGACCGGAGUGGACGCAUCACUGGUGUUCGGGUUGUCAUGCCAAUGGCACUGCCCGGUAGCUAAAUGCGGAAGAGAUAAGUGCUGAAAGCAUCUAAGCACGAAACUUGCCCCGAGAUGAGUUCUCCCUGAGACUGUAAGUCUCCUGAAGGAACGUUGAAGACGACGACGUUGAUAGGCCGGGUGUGUAAGCGCAGCGAUGCGUUGAGCUAACCGGUACUAAUGAACCGUGAGGCUUAACC
rnacentral:rRNA from 1 species